CUCUUUAUGUUGGAGGAUAUAGGGGGGGGCCUGCUCACUGAAUAGAUUAAAGAGCUGCAGUAUUUUGACUGUACAAAGGUAGCAUAWUCAUUUGUUAUUUAAUUGGUAACUGGAAUGAARGGUUUGACGGGGAGAGACUUUAUUGGUUAUUAUGUUUGAAGUUAAGGUACCAUUAAAAAUGAUGGUAUGUUGUCAUGGGACGAUAAGACCCUAUUAAGCUUAAGCGCUAGGUUGAAGGUUUACAAGUAAUAYUACAAUGAGGUGUUUGUACUGGGGCGGUAGAAGGUGUGAGGUAGACAUUUUAGUAUAAGGAAAUAUAUUGUUCCAUUCUUUAAUGAUUAUUAGAAUAAGUUACUAUAGGGAUAACAGCAUAAUUUAUUUGUAGAGUUCAAAUCGAUAAAUAUUUUGUGACCUCGAUGUUGAAUCAAUUAACCUCUUUGGUGAAGGAGCUAAGGAAGG
rnacentral:rRNA from 1 species